GGAUUCUUAGCUCAGUUGGUUAGAGCACCUGCCUUACAAGCAGGGGGUCACAGGUUCGAGUCCUGUAGAGUCCACCA
rnacentral:tRNA from 3 species